rnacentral:rRNA from 1 species
UAGGCUCAGGAUGAACGCUGGCGGCGUGCUUAACACAUGCAAGUCGAACGAUGAUGCCAGCUUGCUGGUGGAUUAGUGGCGAACGGGUGAGUAACACGUGAGUAACCUGCCCUUGACUCUGGGAUAAGCCUGGGAAACUGGGUCUAAUACCGGAUAUGACUGAUCAUCGCAUGGUGGUUGGUGGAAAGCUUUUGUGGUUUUGGAUGGACUCGCGGCCUAUCAGCUUGUUGGUGGGGUAAUGGCCUACCAAGGCGACGACGGGUAGCCGGCCUGAGAGGGUGACCGGCCACACUGGGACUGAGACACGGCCCAGACUCCUACGGGAGGCAGCAGUGGGGAAUAUUGCACAAUGGGCGAAAGCCUGAUGCAGCGACGCCGCGUGAGGGAUGACGGCCUUCGGGUUGUAAACCUCUUUCAGUAGGGAAGAAGCGUAAGUGACGGUACCUGCAGAAGAAGCGCCGGCUAACUACGUGCCAGCAGCCGCGGUAAUACGUAGGGCGCAAGCGUUAUCCGGAAUUAUUGGGCGUAAAGAGCUCGUAGGCGGUUUGUCGCGUCUGCCGUGAAAGUCCGGGGCUCAACUCCGGAUCUGCGGUGGGUACGGGCAGACUAGAGUGAUGUAGGGGAGACUGGAAUUCCUGGUGUAGCGGUGAAAUGCGCAGAUAUCAGGAGGAACACCGAUGGCGAAGGCAGGUCUCUGGGCAUAACUGACGCUGA